GUUUAUAUGUGUUAGUGUGCGUCAGAGAGAAGGAAAAAAAGGCGUAUAUGGUGUGUGUUUGCUUGUGCCUGCAGCAGGGUGAAACAUGGAGGUGUACGGGGGAUGAUCAGACAGAAGGCCAUCUGAGAGCACAACACACACUCCAUCUGGACUCACAUUCACUGUGAAAAAGAGUGUGAAAGAAGAAAGAGACACACAGAGAAGGUUUGCAUUGAUUUGCUGAUCUGUCCGCCGCUGUUUGAGAAAGAAAUCCAGCUUUCAGCUCAGAGGAACCAACUUGAAUGAAGUCAGGAAAGGAAAACGAUAACAGCACAUCAUAGAUGAGUAGUCCGAGGACAGUCAGAAAGCCAAACAUCGGAUGAUUCCUCCUGUUUUCACAUCUUCUGGCUGGUAAUCGGCAUCAUUUUGGACUCCAGUAAAGAAACAGUAGCUGUCAUAGCCACAGGAUGCUGUAAUAGUCGACUCUGUGAGGUUGACGUCAGUGGAAACUCAGUCGACUGAUUCAUCUCUGCUCAGCUGGGGGCUGAAGCCUCGUCUCAGGGGACCAAGGCCGGGAUUCCUCAGGUUCCAGGAUGUCUGCUCCGACGGAGGAAGCAGGAAACCUGGUGCUCACAUUAGCAAUGACAUCAGUGCUGGAGGAAAAGCCUGCACAGAAAAGGUGUGGCGGCACGAUUAAUGGCUGGUUUGUCACAGAUGUUGCACAGAAAUGACUUUUUUGUGAAAUAGUGCAUCAAGACAAACAACUUAUCUGCUGGAAAACUUCACUUAAACACCCUGCAGCAGUGAGAAAGUCUAAAGAGAUACUUUUUCUUUACUUUUUGGGGUCAGAAGUUCUCCUGAUACCAACAGAUCGACUGACUUUCUCAGCUUCUUUCAAGUUGUUUUGGAAAAGUACGGAGAGCUUUUUGGACACAGGCCUGUUUCUACUCACAAUAUGCUCUAUAUUUAGUCUGGAGUUUGUUUUAAACACAUACACAGUGUGUGUGAAUGCAGUGUGUACCUUCCCCGGGUUUGUUUGUGCAGGUUUUACACAUAUAGCUCAGGCCCUGUUUGUUCUGGAUGGAUGCGUUUAGCUGCUGGUCUCCAAAGCCUGAGCUCAGGUAGGAAAGCAAACUGCUGCAAGCUGAAGCCUGUAAGGAGUGAAAGAGUCUGUUUUCAAGAGAAUAAAAGUCUGCAGACACACAGUAAAAAUGUUUUUAACUGAAGUUUCUUUAACAAUUUGCUGUUAUUUUACAGUUUUCCCUUGUUUUACCAUUAAAAAAGAUGCAUGUUAAGGAUCAAAAUAUUCCCACCAUCACAUUUUCAUUGUAGUUUUAGACCCAGUUUAAAAUUUUAUUCUUUAAAAAGAAGCAUUUCUGCAAAGUUCUAGUUUUCAGCGGGAUGUUGUCAUUUAGUUCCCAGAAUGUUGACUUAUAGAAAGAAAGAAAAGUUACAGCAUUUUCUGAAUAUUAGAAUCUUACACCGAGGAACAUUCUUCUUCUUUUGUUGUUAUUUGUCUGAAUGUGAACAUGUUCUGUCUUAGUUAACCUUUAACCUCACUGAAACAUGAUUUCAAACAUUAGACGAAAAGGUUUUCUUUAAAACAUUAUUAGAACUUGUAGGUAAUAUUAGCCAGUGUUGUGUGGAUGUGUUCUGCUUAUCUGGCCGACAUCCACAACAUAAACCGAUAAAAUACCCCAAAAAAGGACUAAAAGAAGAGUUAAGGGAUAAUAAUAACUUUUAAAAUUUAUCCUGACAGGGACACUAAGAAAUGACAUAUUAAUCUGGAGCUGUCACAAAAGACUAUUUUUCUGUCAAAUAGACUAUUACACAGAUUAGUUGAUUAAUUUAAAUUAUUAAUUUUCCUCCAAACGAAGUUUGUUCACUAAAACAAAAACACUCUACAAGAUGAAACAGAAUUAAUUUAGGAAUAAACUGGCAGUAGUAAUUAUUUUACUGUCUAGGUUACACGGAUUAUGCCUUGUACACAUGCCCAGGAAUUAGCAUCUUUAUCUUCUACAAUUCACUUUUUUACCCGUUUUCACUGUGCUGACACAAAUUUUGGCAGAUCUUGGAACUUUAACGUCACUCAGACCCUCAUAGACUCAGAAAUUUAAUGGAGGAAGAUUCAUUUUUUGUGAAUUUAAUGAUUUUUCCUGCAAACCCAAGAAGUCAGCUCAUCUGAAGCCAUGAGAUUUUUACAACAAUUCCUGCUUGACUUUCUCUCAUUUGCCUGAACCAGAAUUCAUAGUUGGUCAUCCAGUAAUGGAGACAUUUUACUUGACACCGCAAACGUAAAAUCUCAUACUGUGCAAGAAGAAAACUUGGGGGAUUAUUGGGAUUACACAUCAUCACUAAGUAUGUGUACUAAAUUCCCUGGCAAUCCAGUCACUAUUUCAGUAUCAACCAAAGAAAAGACUCAGCCAUUACUAGAAACUAGUGGUGGGAUGUGAUUUUAAAAAUUAAUCUAAGGCUUUGAAAUUAAUCACAAUAAAUUGUAUUUUUGUCAAAUAGCAAUAUUUGAUAGAAUAAGCAAAUUUUUUCAAUUCAAAUAAAUGUUGGUUGACAACUGAAUCGAUGAAUAGACAUAUACAUGAACUUAAACAGCAAAAAGGUUUGUUUCAUUUCUAUUUAUCUGCAUUUUUCAUCUGUUUACUACAUUCACAGAUUACUGCAAACUCAAAGUGCAAAUAUAGUGAUUAUAUUCAACAUUAUAUUCAGCUUUAAGUGCUGUGGUGAUAAGAAAACUUUAUGUUGAGUAAUUUGAACACAACCACGCUUUUAUCCAAGCUGACAUCGGGACAGUUUUUUAAAAAAUAUUUUAUUUUUGAUAGUAACAGUUAAGACUGACAGGAAACAUGCAGCAAAGGGCCAUGGGCAGGAAUCAAACCUGGGCCACUGCGUCAGAGACCAGCCCCUGUACAUGGGUCACCUGCUUAACCAGAUGAGCUACACGUGCGCACAGGACAGUUUUUUAAAAGAAAACUUUUCACCCAACAUGCUCAGUGCGGUCUCAUCUUUUAUCACUAUUCAACAGACUUUCUUGUGCACUGGCAUCACUCAGUGUGUCCUGUGCAUCUUCUUCGCAGCUGGAAAACAGACUUUAAGUGCAUUACUGCCACCUACUGGAGUUGGAGUGUGAAUCAGUGUUAACAGUGUGCCAGAAAAUAAGUAACUGAGAAAGGUACGAUUAAAUGCGUCAUUUUUUUAACAUGUUAUUUUUUUCUGCAAUUAAUUAAUCGAAAUUAACGCUUUAAAGUCCCAGCCCUACAAGAAAGAUACAAAUAAUAAACAAAAGCAGUCCCCACAUUCCUGCAGUCCAGUGACUGAUGUGAUGUCACUACUGUAAAGCAGAAGUAAGUGGAUCAGGCAUCAUCAUCAUCUCUUAAUAAACUCUUCCUUCUGAGACUAUCUUUGUCUUCUCUGUCAGCCUGCAAUCAUGGCCAUCUGUGCCAUUUAUGGAGCAGAAAGCAGCAAACUCAGCCAGAUCCCUUCUCCGCCUCCCCUCAAUCUGUCCGUCCAACAUGCACGUUAUUGAACAGCCUUCACAGCUCCUCAUUUGCCAAACCAGCUGUGGAGCUGGAACCGAGACUCAAGUUCGACCCAGAUGUCCCUGAAAAGAGACUCUGAGCCGAGAGGACGACUGCACUUUUUCGCAAUUCUUGGAGAUGAUUUAAAAGCAAUGAUUUUUUUCUCUUUUGUUGUGGUGAAACACAUUCUCUAAAUAUUCCCCUAUGAGGAAAACUCGUGUAUAAAUGCUGCCUGACUUUUAUAAACCUCCAGCAGGACAUGCCGCUUCAAUUGGAGACUUUGAAGCUUUCCUUUUUUUGUUGUGAAGUCUAGAAUAUCAAAGCUGCUGAUUGCGCCUCGUGUUGCGCAUUUAGCUGCAUGUUUUCUCCAACUAUCCCCUCCUGUCUGACUGUUUUACUGCAGGGAUCUUUCUCAUGUUAGCAAAGCAUCAGCUCCCGUCUGCAUUCUUUCAGAGGAGAAUGCCCGAGGAGGAGGGAUAAAAAUCCAGGAAAUGACUGAGAAUGAGAAUAACCCACUCGCUCUAUGAAAUCCACCCUCAAAAAUCAUGACAUUUAAGCUUGACUGAGGAGGAGAUGGAGGGAAAACUGAACUGGAUCACCUCCAAAUCACUUAGUAUGGUGCUUAAGCAAGCUCAGAUGAUUGGCAGAUACUUACACAGACCUUUGACUUUCAUGGCGACACAAAACACUUACAUUUUAUCAUUUCCUAUCUCUAUAUUCAGCUGUGAAGGGCUGCACAUGGGGCAAUUUUCUAUAAUUUACUGCAAUUACUGUCUAAUACUGUCCAUGCAAACUAUUCUUUGCAUGACAUUCGGGGUAUUUUCAGGACUCCUUCGGGUCUUGUCUUGCUCAGUUCGAAUCCCAAAUGAUGUUGGGACUCAAGAAACAAUCAUGCAUUUUGUUUUUUUCAUACAUUUAUUAAAGAUAUUCUGGAAACAUGACAAAAUCUGCAGGAUUUCACUUGGAACAUUGUGCUAUAAGAUGGAAAAAAAAUUGAGCUCUUUGACCAUAAUGACCAGAAAUAGGUUAUAAGGAACGAAGCUGAGGCCUUUAACCCCAAGAACACAAACCUACCAUCCAGCAUGGUGGUGGCAGUAUUAUGCUCUGGGGCUGUUUUGCUGCCACUGGUGCUUUACAUAAAGUAAAUGGGAUAAUGAAGAAGGAGGAUCAGUUGCACAUUCUUCAGGAAAACUUUCAUGGUGACACAAAACACUUGCAUUUUAUUAUUCUCUGUCUCCAUGUUCGGCUAUGAGGGGCCACACGUGCUGCAACGUUCUAUAGUUUACUGAAAUUACUGUCUAAUACUGUCCAUGCAAACUCGUCUUUGUGCGACAUUCGGGGGAUUUUCAGGACUCCAUCGGACCACGUCUGCUCAAUUCGGGUCCCAGAUGAUGUCAAAGUGAAGCCGCUUCACACGGUCAUUUGUGUAAUUGUGUGAGAAAGUCUGUGCCGCAGAGACUUUGUGCUCAUUGGAACUGUCACUGUAGCACUUACACUGCUGUUGUCUCUGUGAAAUGUCAACAUUAGUACAACGCAGACUGUCUGCCUCUGCACUCCACAAUGGGACUGUUGUAUCAGCGUCAAAGACAUGACAAAGUGUUUAAAGUACGGGACACUUGGAAAAGCUUAGCUCGGCUCUGUUUUGGAAUACGUGUGUUUUUUUGCAGAACAUCUGAAGCUUUGUUCCGAACGCAGCACCGUGUCAUAAUUACAGCCAGUUUCUCUGCCUCGGUGGUUGAAAUGUUUUUAAUGUUGCGAGACAUCAGACUGACAUGAAAGAGAAUAUUUUUAAUGCCGCAGCCUGGAAAAUGUGCAACAACUGAUGAUGAUUAUUCAGCCUUCUCUUCAACUGUCGCUUCUCUGCUUGUUCUCUCUCGCACACAUCUUGCAUAAGAAUCUGAUACUGUCUUUUGAACGCUUGUAAAUGAAUCCAUGCAGCGUGGCCUCUAGCAGAUUCGAAGGAAGGAUGACCCAUAUUAAAAAGGUUCAACAACAUGUUUUAGAUUAGGAUUAUGUUUUCCAUAUGCCCACCUACGUUUAUUAGCAGAAUUCAUCCCAUUCUUGUACUCUGGAUGUUGGGUAUUUUCAAAGUUACAAAGCUGUAUUAUUCUCUUUUUGUGGAUGAGACAUAUCAUUAAACUACAGCUGACCAUACUUCAACACAUACGGUCUGAUGUCACUGGACAUUUACAGUCGUGAACAAAGGUUCACAUACACUUGUAAAGACCAUAUGUAUCAUGGCAGUCUAGAGAUUCCAGUGACUCCAAUAACUGAAUUUUCUUUGAUGGAAUCAUUGAAACACAUGUAUCUUUGUCACGAGAAAAACAAUCAUACAUUUAGGUUCUUUCGUAGAUUUAUUAAAGGUCUUCUGGAAAUGACAGAAUAUACAGGCUUUCUAUAAGAUAGCUAUGGUAUCAGAUGAAAAAUGACCUAUUUGACCAGAGUGCCCAGAAAUAUGUUUGAUAGAGAGACGGUGAGGCCUUUAACCCCCCAAAUACCAAACCUACCGUCAAGCACGGAGGUGGCAGUGUUAUGCUCUGGAGCUGUUUUGGUGCCAGUGGAACUGGAGCUUUACACAAACUGAAUGGAAUAAUGAAGAAGAAGGAUUACUUCCACAUUCUUUAGAAAAACUUAAAUUCCUUAGCCAGAAGGCUGGAUCUUGAACACAGCUGGGUGUCCCAACAAGACAAUGACCUCAAACACACAUCAGAGUGGUAAAGAAAUGUUUAAAUCAGGCUAGAAUUAAACAUAAACUCCAUCAAGAACCUGUGAAGAAAGAAGUCUGUAUAAAAAAGCCAACAAAUUUAGCUUAACUGCACCACUUCUGUGAAGACGAGGGUUAAAGAUACAACCAGAAGCAUGAGGAGAGCUACCAAAAGCACUUAGUUGAUGUGAAAAUGGAGAAAGAGCUUUUAACCAACUAUUGGUUUUGCUGUUUGUAUAUUUUUUUGACAAGGAGAUUUUAUCAUAUUUCCAGAUCAGUAACAAAUCCAUUGAAACACAAACAUGCAUGAUUGUUGUGACAAAGACACACGAUUUUCAAUGGUUCCAUCACAAAAAAAUAAGACUUAUAGGUGUCAUUGAAAACUCAAGACUAUAUACAUGAUCUUUACAAGUGUAUGGAAACUUUUGUUCACAACUGUAUGUGUUUCACAGUUUGAAAGAACCCCAUAUAAAGGUUGGAGGGGUGGAAGUAAGUCAUUCAGGUGACGGAAGUUUGUGUCUUUUCUUACGUCAUUCUGUGACUUAAAUCGUAACGUGAAAAUUUAAGCUCCAAAACUAGUCAUUUUGAGGAAAAAAAUCCUUGUUUAAGUUAAAUUGCACCCUUUCGCAUGACAUCCAUUUCUAAAGUUCAUAGAUCUUAAUUGGUCUAUCAGACUACUGUGAAUGUUGAAAAAUGAUGCUUAUAGGUAUGUGGUGCAUUCAAACAUGACAUCAAUUGAUCCUUGACAUACAUGACAAGUUGUGAAUAAAACCAUGCUCUGAACCAUAGGCCGUGUAAAAUGUAAAAUACUUACUCUUAUAAUCUAGAUAUUAGAUUCCAAUGUUUCAACUCUUUACAAAAAACAAAGUUCAACUCCUGAGAGACUAAAAUCAGGGCUUAAAAGAUGCCAAAAUAAUCUCUGCUGCUUGUAAAGCUCACUCACUGUGAACAUAUGUUAGAUCUUAAUACUGAGAUAAAAAUGUCAACCGUUUUCCAUUCAAGCAUCAUACUGUAAAGCACAAUGUUUUGUUCCUUGUCUGUAGCGAUUUACUCUAUUCAGCUUCAAUGUUAAAGUUGACUGUGGGGUACAAAAGUUCAGAGACUAUGUUUAUAUGUUUAUAAUGUGCAAAAAACUGUACCUGAUCUAAAUUUCUCUGCCAUCCCUGUUGCAGUCGUCUUGUGCAGCGACACACUGCUCCUACUGCUCCUGGAACGCUUGUAAAACUCCCUGGAAGUCCUGUUAUGUACACAUGUCAAGAACCAUCUGAGAUGAAUCUCCUACACUGUGUCAAAACAGAGACCCUUCAACUUUGAAUUUCAUUGUAGGAAUGAGGAAAAAAAUCACAGGAAGUUAAAUCUGGUGAACAAGCCGGAGAAAGACUAACAAUUGUGCAACAAACAAAAAGCACUGUGAUGGAGCUCAAACCACAUUAGAGUAUUACCAUGCCUUCGUGCCUCCGUUCAGGUGAUUUACACCAAACGUUCCCCCACAGGUGCCUCAGCAUGUUGCAGUUGAACUUGAUUUUGUAAAUUCAACCGUGGGGGAGGAAUUCAUGACCAACAGAUGAAUGGUAAAUAUUGGUCCUGGUGCACUCCUGACCUGACAUCUUGUCCGGUCUUUAAAAAUGCGGUUCUUUUACUGUAAAAAUGGUUGUUUCUUCUCUUGAUGUAGCUACAGACACACCUCUGGUCACCAGUGAUGAUCCUCCACAUAAAGACUGGAUCAUCUGGCUGCUGACUAACAUACUCUGAUGUCUGCUGUCUGACAGUGUGAGAUUCAUGAAAAAUUCGUAACUGUGCAGCGAUCAGUGGUACCAAGAAAUGUGUAACACGGGCGUCGGUAUUGAGUUGGUGUAAUGUGGUUGCCUGACUUCUGACAGUUACUGCCUGCACGUGUUGCACAUGCAUGACAUUCUUGGUGCAACAUUAGCAGUCUCAGAACUUUUUGAUCGCACCUUAAAUCUGCUGCUGUGCACGACACUGUUGAUCGUAAUGGACGGAAAGGUGUAAACAGCAAAACGCAACCAGAUGCUGCAGAUGUGUCGUUUGAUAUCUUGGUAUUUUUGGCAUUCUGCUUUUGACAUACUAUGCACUUGGAAAUAGUAAAUCUUCUACUCUUGUAUUAUGUAGUUUGAUGGUAUGGAUAUUGGAAGUCACACUUGG